rnacentral:rRNA from 1 species
CCUGGUUGAUCUUGCCAGUAGUCAUAUGCUUGUCUCACAGAUUAAGCCAUGCAAGUGAAAGUACAUAUGUAAAUAAUAUAUUGAAACUGCGAACGGCUCAUUAAAACAGUUAUAAUCUACUUGAUGUUUUUAAUAUAAGGAUAACUACGGAAAAUCUGUAGCUAAUACUUGUGAAAAUACCUUUUGAUAUAUACAUAUGUAUGUAUCAUUAAGGUAUGUAUUUGUUAGAUAUAAGAAUAAAAUAAAUAUAAUUGAAUUAUAACAAAGAAGAAACACAUAAAAUAUGUGUAUUAUCAAUCGAGUAUCUGACCUAUCAGCUUUUGAUGUUAGGGUAUUGACCUAACAUGGCUAUGACGGGUAACGGGGAAUUAGAGUUCGAUUCCGGAGAGGGAGCCUGAGAAAUAGCUACCACAUCUAAGGAAGGCAGCAGGCGCGUAAAUUACCCAAUUCUAAAAAAGAGAGGUAGUGACAAGAAAUAACAAUACAAUAUCGAAAAAUGAUUUUGUAAUUGGAAUGAUAGGAAUUUACAAGGUUCCUAGAGAAACAAUUGGAGGGCAAGUCUGGUGCCAGCAGCCGCGGUAAUUCCAGCUCCAAUAGCAUAUAUUAAAAUUGUUGCAGUUAAAACGUUCGUAGUUGAAUAUUAAAGAAUCCGAUGUUUCAUUUAAACUGGUUUGGGAAAACCAAAUAUAUUAUAUAUUUUGCUUUGUUCAAAAUAAGGUUUUCUAAUAAAUUAUGUUUUUAUCAGAUAUGACAGAAUCUUUUUUAAAAUCUCUUCAAUAUGCUUUUAUUGCUUUUGAGAGGUUUUGUUACUUUGAGUAAAAUUAAGUGUUCAUAACAGACGGGUAGUCAUGAUUGAGUUCAUUGUGUUUGAAUACUACAGCAUGGAAUAACAAAUAUGAAUAAGCUAAUUAUUUUUUUUUUUCAUAAUUUUUUUUGAUAUUCUUAUUAGCUUAGUUACGAUUAAUAGGAGUAGCUUUGGGGGCAUUCGUAUUCAGAUGUCAGAGGUGAAAUUCUAAGAUUUUCUGGAGACGGACUACUGCGAAAGCAUUUGCCUAAUCUAUUUCCAUUAAUCAAGAACGAAAGUUAAGGGAGUGAAGACGAUCAGAUACCGUCGUAAUCUUAACCAUAAACUAUACCGACUAGGUGUUGGAUGAAUAUAAAAAAUAUAUAAAUAUGUAGCAUUUCUUAGGGAAUGUUGAUUUUAUAUUAGAAUUGCUUCCUUCAGUACCUUAUGAGAAAUCAAAGUCUUUGGGUUCUGGGGCGAGUAUUCGCGCAAGCGAGAAAGUUAAAAGAAUUGACGGAAGGGCACCACCAGGCGUGGAGCUUGCGGCUUAAUUUGACUCAACACGGGAAAACUCACUAGUUUAAGACAAGAGUAGGAUUGACAGAUUAAUAGCUCUUUCUUGAUUUCUUGGAUGGUGAUGCAUGGCCGUUUUUAGUUCGUGAAUAUGAUUUGUCUGGUUAAUUCCGAUAACGAACGAGAUCUUAACCUGCUAAUUAGCGGUAAGUACACUAUAUUUUUAUUUGAAAUUGAAUAUAGGUAAUUAUACAUGUUUAUUCAGUGUUCAAAUUAGGAUAUUUUUUUUAUUAAAAUAUUCUUUUCCCUGUUCUACUUUAAUAAUUUGUUUUUUUUUACUCUAUUUCUCUCUUCUUUUAAGAAUGUACUUGUUUGAUUAAAUAAAGCUUCUUAGAGGAACAGUGUGUAUCUAACACAAGGAAGUUUAAGGCAACAACAGGUCUGUGAUGUCCUUAGAUAAACUAGGCUGCACGCGUGCUACAAUGAUAUAUAUAACAAGUUGUUAAAAAUGUACUUAUAAAUAAGUGUGUACAGUUUUUCCUGUACUGAAAAGUAUAGGUAAUCUUUAUCAGUAUAUAUCGUAAUUGGGAUAGAUUAUUGCAAUUAUUAAUCUUGAACGAGGAAUGCCUAGUAAGCAUGAUUCAUUAGAUUGUGCUGACUACGUCCCUGCCCUUUGUACACACCGCCCGUCGCUCCUACCGAUUGAAAGAUAUGAUAAAUUGUUUGGAUAUGAAUUAAAAUAAUGAAAUUUUAUAUUUCUGAUUUUUUCUAGAAGAACUGUAAAUCCUAUCUUUUAAAGGAAGGAGAAGUCGUAACAAGGUUUCCGUAGGUGAACCUGCGGAAG